GACCAUAGAAGCCAUUCCCAUUUAAAGUUCCAGUUUAGUUUGUUUUUGAAUGAGCUAGAAGAACUUUUCUUGUAACCCUCCUAAACAACAUGUGUUGACGUAGGUUUUGUUUGACAUUUUUUUAAGGUUUUCUGACCCAGAGACUCAACUAUUUUCUGCAAUUCUCCAGCUGUGACCCUAGGAGAGUCUUUAGCUACUCAAACUCUCCUUCUCACCGCACAUUAGGACGAUAUAGGCAUACGUCCUCUUCCAGGCAGUUCUGUAACAUUUUCUGUUGGUUGGAAAUUCUUAAUUCUUAUCGAAAUGGGAAUUUUCACUGCUCUAGCUCUUUUCUUCAAGCUCAAUUAUCUUUUGCUGCACAUCAGAAUAUAUUCUUUGGUUUUUCUCAUUGCGAUGCAUGAUUAAUUUGAAUUUGGGCUUUGUUUCCCCUCCUCUUUAUAUUUCUGUGAAACAAAGCCAGAGCUGAAUCAUGAAUGCAGAAAUGACCACGAAAAAUCUGUUUUAAGUUAUGGUUAUAAGUUCUGAGUUACUGUAUGGUAGAAAGAUGUUGGAUGCACAGUUCCUGUCAUGGGUUUUGCUUCUGAAACUGCAUUUUUUUGUCACCCCACAAGUUUUGGGGUAGGGAUCAGGGGAAUAAGCUGGCUACUCCAUAACCUCAAUCCUUUUUGUCUGAAACCAAGAUUUUGCCCUUUUGCUUGUGUGUUUGAGCUUGUUGUCUUGUUGAAACACAUUUUAGGGGCAUUUCCUCUUCUGCAAAGGGCAACAUAAUCUUUUCAAGUAUUCUGAUCUAAACUGAUUCAUGUUCCCCCGAUAAAUAGGCCCAACAUGGUAGUAUGAAUACCGUGAUUUUUACACCACUGAUUUUAAAGAUAUCUGUCUUUCCCCAUUCAAGUAGAUAGGACUUUAAUCUUGCAUGACUAAAAUAACUACCCAGAGGUGUUGCAAACAUACCCAUCUAGUGGCACGAUGUUGGUAGUUAUUUACUUUAUUAAUGUUCAGUGGGGAAAUUGCCAGACAUAACCGUAUAAAAAAUACAAACAUGUAAAUGAUUUGAUUGAGAUGUUGUUUAUUUUAUUUUUGAGUUCCUCAGUUGUAGAAAAAUAUACCUUGUAAUGCACUGUAAGUCACUUUAGACAAAAAUGGCAACCUAAUGCAUAAAUUAAAAUGAUGACUUACAUGUUCUAUCACAUACAUGUGUAUUUUCUCAAGUCUUUUGUAUUGGGCGGUAUAGGUGAGUAUUCAAUGGGGAUUUUUCAUUUUCAUCCUGAAUUCACUGCAGUUUAUGGCUGUCUGUGCAAAAGGCUGUUUUCAAAUAUGUUGCAUCAAUGGUCACACCAACAAAUUCAGGAAGAAGGCUGAUCAAGAAUCAGUAUAAAUACGUCACAUCUACUGCCUCUGUUGCGGUUCACCCACAGCUUUCACACAUACACCAUGUUUGCUGUAUCUGCGAGUAGCGUUGUAUUGCUCUUUCUGCUUCAUCACACAACACUGGACAGUGUGGAUGGACAGAUCAUUGACAGUAAUACUCUUGCUCGCAUUAUUGCCUUCUUUGAGCAGAACUAUAAGAGAGUCGAUGAAAAUGGAAAUGAACGUCAGUAUGCUGUAGCCAUCAAUGUACCAAAGCAUCAGUGUGAAUCUAGAUUCAACCCUUUCAGGGACCCAUUCCUAACUGAUGUGUCUCCAGAAGAUGUGAAAAAGAGCUUUGAUAAUGAAAAUUAUCCAGUUUACGAAGGUACAGAGCUCAUAGCUGCAGGAGUUAAGAAAACUAAAAACGACAUCCACUCUGAGCGUCUCCUGCUUCUUAACCCCACUGAUAAAAAAUCAGAAACACCCAUGCAAAAACUCUUAAAACAAAGAACAACUGACAGCUGCACUGUUUUCUUUACGCUUAACUCUCCAUGCUCAACCGUCUGUCUUGAUAGAUGUAUCCAGUAUAACAUUCUUGAGGGCCUCAAAACCUGGAGUCAACAUGUUGGCAUUAAAGUAUUUGUCUUUAAAAAGUUCUGGGAUAAAGAUUUGAAACAAGACAGAGAAAUACUUGAAGAUAGAUAUAGGGAGAUUAUUAAAAAAAUUCCUCUCUAUCGUUGUGAGAAUAAGAAUGAGUGUCAUGCCUGUGGUGGGCAAAAAUAUACUCCCAUGAAUGAACGCUGUCUUCCCAGCCCAAAAUCCUACAAUAAUACAAUUUCUUAAAUUGCUAAAUGAUUUGACUGUUAGCUGAGGCAUUUCAUUUUAUCCAGAUUAAAGGCAUGCAGAAAGGUCUGUGAAAAAAAUUAUUGUUAUGCUUGCAUUAAAACUAAAAAAUAUAAAUGUCAAAAACGGAAAAAAGCUUUGUGUGUGUUUUACACUUUUGUAUUUCUCUGUAAUUCCACUGCUUGAUACAAUGCAAAUUUGUGAAAGCGCUAUAGAAAUAAAUUUGCAUUGAACAUAA